rnacentral:lncRNA from 1 species
CAGGUUCCUGCAGGUGGAAGCCUGAAAACACACAGAGGGCAGAGCUGGAGCAGGGAUUUAUAGGGGCUGGAAAUACUGGGAGAGUCAGGCUAAUGGAAAAAAAGGGGAAGCUUGCCCGAAGAAGAAAAGCAAGCCCAGCAAGUCUUCGAGUGUCAAAAUCCUCUUUUAUUGAUGGCUCACUUCUGGAGCCUUUAUUUUAUUGGCUCUAUGCCUAACCUUGAUAAGAUUUUACCCUCACCAACAACUGCAACUCAGGCAUUUUAAAGACUGCUUCAUGAAUUAAACUAUUGUUCCUUAUAAAUAAACUCUAAUUCUUUUUUUUUUUUCUCAUACAUUAUUUAUUUCCUAGCUCUUUCUUCUGCUGCAGAGAAGUGAAAGGCAGAGAAGGAGGAGUACAGAAAGGAAGAGGGAUGUUUCAAAGACGAUGGGAAGUACACGAUUGUUUUUUGACAAUGGUGAAAAUUCCCUUUCAUGACACAGAGGUAAUUGGCAGAUGUUGCAUGUUUAGAUCCCGAAUGCACAUGCUAAAAGUUGCAUGAUAUUCUUACAUUACUUCCUUUUUGGUAUGAUAGAAAAACAUGCACUAUUAACACUCUUUCUAUAUAUUUCCAUAUUUUCUUGCAGCUGUCAGGGGGUAUUUCUUUCUUCUUUGACAUCCUCUUUGAAGUGCUGUGUUGCAAUAAUGCUGAUAUUAUGCUGCUCAGGCAUUAUUUAUGACUGCUGCUGGCAAAGCAGUUACUCCAUUUUCCAAGCCAAGCUGCAGUGA